GUCCUUGCGACCAGGCUCCUCUUUCUGAUUCCUCUUCCUCCUUGUUCUUCCCUUUUUAUCCCAGGACGUGAUUCUAUCCUCCCCUUCUCUUUCUCUUUAUUUCUAGAUUUUUAGAUGGAUUCUUCUUGAUCUGAGAUGUUUACUUUCUUCCCUUCUAAUACUAGGAUGUGAUUCGUUUUGCUAAGAUGAGUUGGCAGCACUUUAAUGGACCUGGCUCCAGAUCGCAUCCCCAACCCUAGCAGGCGGUCCUCCUCUAGAUCCCGACCCGAACCCAACCCAGGCCAGGAGCGCGGUGGCGGCGGCGACUACCCCGACCCAAAGCGCGGCAGCGGCGGCCACGUGCGGCCGCUUGUCGUCAGCGGCGGCGACUAGGGUUGCUGGCCUCAAAACCCUAGCCGCUGCCUUUGCCUCGUCGUCCCUGUUCUCCUCGAGGAGGAGCUGGUCUGGAGGCGCUCAAGGAGCUCGAGCUCCGCCGUGCGUCCCCGGCUCCAUGGAGACCAGCAGAAGCGGCGCUCGACUGCAGCUCUGCCCCGACCCCGAUCCAGGGCAGCCCGGGAAGCCCCACGGCCUCCUCUACUGGAGUAGGCCGACGCCCAUGAGCAGCGUGGGUUAGGGACCUCGACGUUGGCCUCUACAUCGAGCAGGCGACCUCGACAUCUAGCAGCGAGCACCGGUUCCGAUCAGUCAGGACUAGAUGCGAUGCAUCUGCCGUCUCUGUUGCCCAGCCGGGUGCCAAAUGGCUCCACGGGGCAGCAUUUUGUGAGGUGACGUUGAUGCUUGCCCUUCUCUUGGAGAAUACUUGAUAAUUUCCUAAUCCCCUAAACAUGCCUUGGCAUUGGAUGGAUCAAGGAGCAGGUUACAGUUUAUGUUUUUGGUCAAAGUUUCCUCUAUUUUUCUGCUCUUAGCCUCUAUUACAGUCUGUUCUAUCUUGCUACACAUUGGAUCCUGCUGCAGUUGUAUUUACUAUUUACUAUUAUAUAAAAAUCAGCCAUGUGCAAGCAACGGAGCUUAAUUUGUACAGUUGGCCAUAUCGACUACUGAGAAGGCUCAGUUGGUGUUGGAUGUGAUGUCUUGGUGGGAUAUGUUUUUCUAUUGGAUGCCUACAGUAACUACAGGAUGCAAGAAGAACUUUGCAGGCAGUCCGGGGACUCUAUCACGAGUUGCUCAAUGUAACCUUCGCAAUGGGCGGUGGCUGCAGCACGGUGAAACAAUUCUGGUCCACUCUCUCGAGUGGCUCGACGUGUCCUUCGCAAUCAGUGGAAGCUGCUGCAUGCCAAAAAGAAGACAAGGUCAAGUGGAACUGACUCUGGCGAGGAGUAUAUGUGAAAGAUAGACUUGACUUUACAUUAGGCCAUUGAUCAAAUAACAUCUUCGUUUGGGAGGGGAGCAAUAAUGUGGCUUGGCUGCUCUGAAAGUCACAAAGAAGUACCUGUUGUGUCUACUGGGUCUUUCUCUCUGGAUCUUGCACUAGGGAUCAGUAGGCUUCCAAAGGUAGCAUGCCAUUACUCUUUGGAGGGACGUGUUUUAGAUGUGUAUGGUCCAGAGGCUUCAGGGAAGACAACUCUUGCUUCAGUGGACAACUCUUGCAUUCUUUUCACAAAACAAUCUAAUAUUGAAUGUUGCCUUUUAGAAAUCUGGAAUUUAGUUGGUUACAGAUUUAUAUACUAUUAGUAAACCUUGCUGGCGAGUUAGAUAUAGGCUCAUUUAGGUUUUUUUUUGUCCUUGUACUUGCUUGACAGAAGUAAAAUUUUCUGAUAUGGUGGACUGAAGUUGCCUACUGAUGUUUUUGGUCCAAGAAGAAGGGGUAGAUGCAAAUGCAUUACCUUGACCACGAAGCAACAUUGCAAAAUGCUAAAUGCUAAUACGAUAAUUAUUAUUUUUUCCUUUACUGAUACAAUAUAGGAUCCUUAAAGCAAGUGCAUCAUUUUUACUUAAACACAUUCCACAAAUUUACUGCUCGAAGAGCCCAUCCUAAAGGUCUUCUACAUGAACACUCCAGGUUAGUAGAUAAUGAUAUUUCAAUUUCCGAAACUUUGUUUGCGCAAUAGUUUUUAAUGUGAUAUGUCUAAGGAGGAACAAAAUUUUAAAUGAUCUGGUCUCGAUUAUAUAACCAUUUAGACGCUUCACUCUAUGAUUUUAACCCUACAAGUUUGAGUGCUAUUUACCUCUCUGCAGAACUCUUUCAAAAAAAUUAACCCCACAAUUUUCAGUAAUACUCACCUCACUGCAGAACUAUUUUUUCUUGUAAGAACUUAUGAAUUUGUUCUUGGUAAUCUACCUUCUAUUUUUCUUGAUACACCUAGGUGUUACUUGAAUUCUUCAGAUUUUAUAGAGGUCAUUAUAGAGGGUACGAUAUCAUAUGGUUUCAAAAUUGUUCCACAUUUAGUUAUUUUCGCAACCCAGAGAAGGUUUUCAAUAUAAAUGAAUAAUUAAGUAGAUCCCUGGCUAUGCUUUGGUGGACUCCAGAGGCAAACAUGUACCUCAGAUAGGUGAAUGGCCGUUCGAGGGGUUUUGAAUACCUGAGCAUUACAACAUGAUAUUGUGAUUAGUAGUGGAAGGAGUGCAGAAGCUUAUUAUAAUGCUACCGUUUAGAUACUUAUAACCAUGCUAUUCUGCAGAUAUAAGGUUCUAUCUCUGUUCGCAAUGCAUUAUAUUAUUCAUUUGUGCCCUGUUUGUAUCCCUUAGAUAGUUCCCAAUGCUCAUUUCCGCGGGCACUGUCUGUCAAUGAACGCCUCAUAUCUCACAUUUUCCGAAGAAGUUAACUUGUGGUUUGUUCCAGGGGUCCCCUAUAUUCUAUUUCUAUUUGGUAUGCCUUCUAGCGUUCAUAUGCUGGUCUUUAACAUACUGUGAGUUUCCAACGAGAUGGUCUUGGGUAGCAGAGAAUAAAAAGUGGGUGCGGAGAAAACGGAGUGAUAAAAUUGGCAGGAUAUAUUAUGUGCAUCCUUCUACCGGCGAGCUUUACUAUCUUAGAAUGUUGUUGAUGCUUGUGAAGGGUGCAAAGUGCUAUGCUGAUGUUAGGACUUAUAAGAAACUGUAGAGGGCUAACUUAGUUAGACCUAGGGUUCCUCAACAAGGCUAACAUCAGGGGGUCUAGCAUGUAAAGGCAACUGACGUAGCGCCUUAGCGCCGGCUAACGACCAUUGACAGGCUUCAUCUAGGAUGGGCUGAACUAAGACGAGAUUACUUUUUAGAUAAUAUAGGAAAUUGUCAUUUCGCACUCUUUGGUUUCUGAAUGGUAUUUCACAGGGAGUGAGUGCCAUAAA